ensembl:lncRNA
UUUACACUUUUAAUAGCAUUUGGCCAACAUACAAUUGGAAGAGACCUCCUUAGGCAAUGAUUACAGUAUUCCACUCUCACAGACAGUUACGAUAGAUAAACAAUUUCACUGAUCAGGCACCAUUCAGUGAAACGACUUUUGCUCUGAUGGCAAGAAAAAUCUUUCAGGUUUCCAAUCUGCAUGCCUCAACAGGAUUCUUGUGCCAAAAGAAGGUUCCUUUUGCUUGAACAUCACUUUUUCAGCAGUACUGUUUACCCAAUAUCUUUAACUUUCCAAUCUCUUUAAAAAGAGGCACCAUAUAUCCUCUCUGUCUCUCUUUUGCAGGAUUAAACAUGCCAAGUUGUUUAAUUUUCCCUUCUGUAGUAAGCCCUCUCUUAUCCUGACCAUCUUUGUCACUUUUCUCUGCUAGUUAGAUCUCAACUCAUUUUUCUUGGAAAGAAGAUAAUCAGUGCUGUAGAGUCUUUCAAAUGAGGUCUGCAUAACAUUGUAUCGCUUCACUGGAUACAUCAUACAGGGUAUAUAAGCUUGCACUUUUUUUAGGUGCAUUAUCUACAAGACUCAUAGUCCUCCUAAAACCAGCCAAAACAUGCAAGUUAAGUUAUAUUCUUCUUUAUCUCUUCCCAGUAAGUCUGGUAUAGGAUAGCAAGAUCUUACGAGUUCUCAAAUGAAUUCAUGAACUUGCACUCUAAUAUUUUAAGUACUAGCCACUUUAUUUCUCUUGUCCUCAAAGUCCUCUAAUUUCUCCUAUUUGAUAUUCUUAUCCUCCUUUCUAUUAACUAUGCUGUCUAAACUCGUGUCACCAAAAUCACUGUAACUUUCCUAAUUCUCUUAUCAACAUCAUUAAUGAAAUUAUUAAGAUUAGCAAGGUUGUUCUCAAAAUUCAAUCUUAACAAGAAUCUAUUAGUAACUUCAUUUCAACACUUCCUUUUUGAUAGUCCCCAUCGUCUUCUGACUGCUCCCCUAUUCUCUUUACCCACUUUCAGUUCUUUUAAUGAUUCUUAUCAUGUCCAGCUUAAUUAAUAAUUUCCCACAAGGCAAUAUAUCAAAUACAAUCAAGACAGUUCUAUCCAUUCCCUUUGCCUAAAAAUAUCACAGAAUUUAUCAAAAAUGAUCUUUUGUUAAUCUGAGAUAAUCUACUUUUGAUUAAAAAGAUAUGACAUUUCAUUCCAUUUACUUCCAUGCUCUUCAUUAUUUUCUCCUAGACAUUUCAUUUUAGAGACUACUGAGAGCAGACCAACACAUACUUAGAUGCCUGGAUCAAUUUUUGCACCUUUCUAAAAUACAUUUGCUACUUUAUAGUUACCUGGUAACAUUUCUGCCUUUCUCUAACACAUCUUGUAUCAGAAACUUCAUGUACCAUGUCUUUCAGACCUCGCAGUUGAAGAUUGGCCAGUCUACUGCCAUCUGUCUCCCCUUCUUUUCUGUGUGCUACAUUUUUUAGUAUCUUUUUCCCACUAGUCACUUAAUCGACCCCAGCUGCUGAUAGCUGCAAUAGAGGAAACACCUUAGUUUGGUUUCAGGACUGCAUUUAGAUCAUCUCUCACUUUUACUUUGUCCCUUCUGCACAGUGGCUGCAUUACUUCUCUUUCUUAGCUCUCUUGGUGGUUCAGGCUGAUGGAAAACUUUACCUCCUAAUCUGAGGUGUGUUAUAUCUCUCAAAGUAAGGUUCAGAAACAAUUGCAACCAUCUGAGUUCCUGUAAUAUUCAUACAAGAUACCUUAUUUUUCCUUUUAGCAAACUGAGUACAGUUCCUUGCAUAUGGCUGUGUGUGUUAUUUACCAAAGUAGCUCAUAAAUUUAUUUUGCAAGGAUUUUUUUUUUAAUAUAUUCAUUUUAUUAAAAAUGAUAAGACACACCACAAUUGAAAGAACUCAUAGCCUUUUAGAAGACUUUACAUAGCAUGGAGAAGUCUUCCCAGAAAGGCAAGAAAUAAAUAAGAAAACACAAAGCAUUUUGGGGCUGCUAUCUCAGUGUAUUUGGCAUAAGGCACUCUCGUGCUGCUUUGCAAGAGUUUGCAGACCGCUAAUGGAAGACAGAAUUGGUGAAAUCAUUUGAGGUUCAUAAUGAAAUCUGACACACAAAACGUUGCAACUUGCUCUUGGGAAAUCUUAACACAAGAGCCAAAGGAGCUACAUGAGAAGAGUGGAUUAGGCAACAACUGUGCCACGCUGAGCAACAGAAACCUUUCAAUAUCAUCAUGGUGAUUUGUCCUCAUGAGAUAUUCUACCUGCAUGGAACAAGAAGCGGGCUUCUCUGGGGUCCAUCCUGGCUGGGGCCUGAAUUUGUACAGCACAUGUAUUUUAUGGUGUGCUCCAUACUACUGGUCAUCAGGGACCUGCGCUGGCAGUGCACAAGACAGUUCACCCACUAGUUCUUGUGACUCUAUCACCCAGACUAAUUCCUCUCCUUUUAAUUUCUGCAGGUUUCCUAUGAACAGAGUGCAACCAGACACUUUCCAACAAAACGGUGAGAUGUGGCUGAUCACUCGUAAUCAGUUCUGCUGCUUGUGUCAAGGACUUCAAUCACACAGGGUUCCCAUGAACUGAAAGGAUAUAACUUCAUACUUACAAGACAAUAUUUAACGAGAUAAAAAGUCUUGUCAGAAACCUGAACUGUUCCUGUGCUGAGAACUAGAAGGAAACCUCUCUCGUAGGUAUGCCAGUUGUUGACACCAUCCAACAUCUUCCACUGCUGUUUUCUAGUAUUAUUCUUCCAUUGCUUCGAGAUAUUUUAAUCAACAGAAAAAAAAUAAAAAAUUGCAUAUACUGAAAAUACAACCCAAGUUGAAAUAUUUUUUUCUAAAUCAAGUUGGAGAAAAAUAAUGCUGGUUUGCUCUUCUUAAAAAACUCCUACAACUGUUACACAGAAUGAUUUUAAGAGAUAUACAUAGAGGGUAGCCAGGAUAAUAUAUCUGUACCUUUGUCAGUACUCAUGAAAAUGUACCCAAACUCUAAGCCGUAACAUUCUCUGUAAGUUGGAUAAAUUUUAGCAAAGAUAUACCGAUGUUAGGGCUAAGUCUCAGGUCUGUCAUUCUCACCGUGUAGACUUAAAGUUUAUCUAUGGCCUCAUCUUCUGAAAAAAAUAUAGCCCGUAAACCUGCCCUAUGGCAGGAGCUAUAAACAACUCCGCAGCAAUUAUCUCAGGUUUGAGCAUUUGCAUGUGCUCUGACCAUGGUAUUGUGAGACUUCCAACAGUCUUUAAGUGGUCACCUUCUUGGCAGUGUAACCUCUUUCCACUGUUAAGAGACAGGCAACUGAGACCCACAACACAGGCUUCCCAGGUUCUAGGGUUUUCUUCUAAACACAAAAGCAGCUUUCCUCCAAAAUAAACACAACCUGUGGCAGAUGCAGCUUUUCUUUUCCUUCACCCUUCAAAUGUGUUUAACAGAUAUUUAAAAUACUCUAUAUUGGAGGUGUGUAAGUUAUAUCCAGUCUGUUUCAGUCAAAAAAACCCAAAAAGAAGCAAUAUCA